GGAAAACACAAGUCUCAGAGAAGGAAAGCAGUUGCCACAGUGUUCAGCUUAACCAAGUCAUCUUAUUUGAUAUGUGAAAGUUCUUUGAGAUGGAAGAAUCUCAGCUCAUCACUGCGAAGGAAUGCCAGGAUUAGGAAGUCAUCAGAUGCAAGCCUGCAAGCCUCAGUGUACUCCUCAAUGUCUGCAGGGCCCACCCCAGAGAGAGGCCCCUGGGUGACCAGCCGGUGAGGAGCUUCAAGAGGAAGGAUUCACCAUCACCACCUGGAUCCCGCGUGCAGCUUUUGUCACAGCGGUGGCGAGCACAGUCUCUGCCUCCUGGGGAGAUGGGGUGUGAAGCUCACAGCACCUGCGUGUGGCUGGGCCCAACAUUAACAGCGCUGCAAGAGCUCACCUCCAUUUAUAGGAAGUGGGAAGGACCCAAGGACUGGCCGAUGACACCACAGGAGGCAGAAGGCACAUCGGGGGUUGGGGGCAGCCUAUGGCCAACCUACCCUGUCCCUCUAACAACCUACCCUGUCCCUAUAACACAUUGCUGGCAGGAAACAUGGGAGAUGGCUCAGACUGGAGACCUGGGGACAUAUCUACCAAGUGCCAUGUGGGUCCUGGGUCAAAGUCACCACCGUGAAAAGACAUUUCUGAGAUAAUUUGGGACAUGUGCUAAUGGAGGGGUUUCAGAUUCCACCCAGAGACCACUGCUGGGUGCGUGGAUGGGACAGUGACACUGGGGCCCGCAAGAAAGAUCCCAUGCUGUGAGAGACAGACUGAAGGGGAAGAGGGAGUGACGCGAUGCCUGGGAUUUGCUGAAGAAAAAAAAAAGAAUAAAAAGGUCCGUCUGUAUAUGGAUGGCAAGAAUUUCUUGGUAACAAAAGCACAGCCAAUAAAAGAAAAAAUAAAUACUAAAGUCGAUGAAAAUUUAAAACUUUUGUGCAUCAAAGGGCACCAUCAACAGAGCAAAAAGGCAGCUAAAGAAUGGGAGGAAAUAUCUGCAAAUCAUGUAUCUGGUAAGGGGUUAAUAUCCAGAAUGUGCAGAAAACUCUUACAACUCAACAACAGAAACAAAAAUCUAAUUUAAAAACGGGCAAACUGGCCGGGUGAGGUGGCUCAUGCCUGUAAUCCCAGCACUUUGGGAGGCCGAGGUGGGCGGAUCACUUGAGGUCAGGAGUUCAAGACCAGACUGGCCAACAUGGCAAAACCCCAUCUCCACUAAAAUUUCAAAAAUUAGCCAGGUGUGAUGGCACGUCCCUGUAAUCCCAGCUACUCGGGAGGCUGAGGCAGAAGAAUUGCUGGAACCCAGGAGGCAAAGGUCGCAGUGAGGUGAGAUCACGCCAUUGCACUCUAGCCUGGGUGACAGAGUGAGACUCCGUCUCAUAAAUAAAUAAAUAAAUAAAAAUGGGUAAAGGACUUGAAUAGACAUUUCUCCAAAGAAGAGAUACAAAUGGCCGAUAAGGACUUUUCUGAAAAGAUGUUCAACACCACUAAUCAAUUAGAGAAAGGCAAAUCCAAACUACAACGGGACACCAUCUCACACCUGUUAGGAUGGCCAUGAUCCUAAAACAGAAAGUAAUGAUGCUGGUGAGUAUGUGGGGAAACUGGAGCCCUUGGGCACCGCUGGCAGGAAGGUAAA
rnacentral:lncRNA from 1 species